UACGAAGGGGGGCUAGCGUUGUUCGGAAUUACUGGGCGUAAAGCGUACGUAGGCGGAUUUGUAAGUAGGGGGUGAAAUCCCCCAGGCUCAACCUGGGAACUGCCUUCUAGACUGCAAGUCUUGAGAUCAGGAGGGGCGAGUGGAAUUCCGAGUGUAGAGGUGAAAUUCGUAGAUAUUCGGAGGAACACCAGUGGCGAAGGCGACUCGCUGGACUGAUACUGACGCUGAGGUACGAAAGCGUGGGGAGCAAACAGG
rnacentral:rRNA from 1 species